rnacentral:tRNA from 1 species
GUUAGCUCAAUUGGAUAGAGUACCGGUCUUCGGAACCGGUGGUGAGGGUUCGAGUCCCUCAC